rnacentral:rRNA from 1 species
AGUGAACGCUGGCGGUAGGCCUAACACAUGCAAGUCGAACGGCAGCACAGUAAGAGCUUGCUCUUACGGGUGGCGAGUGGCGGACGGGUGAGGAAUACAUCGGAAUCUACUUUUUCGUGGGGGAUAACGUAGGGAAACUUACGCUAAUACCGCAUACGACCUACGGGUGAAGGCAGGGGAUCUUCGGACCUUGCGCGAUUGAAUGAGCCGAUGUCGGAUUAGCUAGUUGGCGGGGUAAAGGCCCACCAAGGCGACGAUUCGUAGCUGGUCUGAGAGGAUGAUCAGCCACACUGGAACUGAGACACGGUCCAGACUCCUACGGGAGGCAGCAGUGGGGAAUAUUGGACAAUGGGCGCAAGCCUGAUCCAGCCAUACCGCGUGGGUGAAGAAGGCCUUCGGGUUGUAAAGCCCUUUUGUUGGGAAAGAAAAGCAGCAGGUUAAUACCCCGCUGUUCUGACGGUACCCAAAGAAUAAGCACCGGCUAACUUCGU